rnacentral:tRNA from 1 species
GUCUAUGUGGCUCAGUUGGUAGAGCAUGGUGUUUGCAACGCCAGGGUUGUGGGUUCGAUUCCCACGGGGGACU